AGAGUUUGAUCCUGGCUCAGAUUGAACGCUGGCGGAAUGCUUUACACAUGCAAGUCGAACGGCAGCACGGGGCAACCUGGUGGCGAGUGGCGAACGGGUGAGUAAUACAUCGGAACGUGCCCAAUCGUGGGGGAUAACGUAGCGAAAGUUACGCUAAUACCGCAUACGAUCUACGGAUGAAAGCGGGGGAUCGCAAGACCUCGCGCGAAUGGAGCGGCCGAUGUCAGAUUAGGUAGUUGGUGGGGUAAAGGCUCACCAAGCCAACGAUCUGUAGCUGGUCUGAGAGGACGACCAGCCACACUGGAACUGAGACACGGUCCAGACUCCUACGGGAGGCAGCAGUGGGGAAUUUUGGACAAUGGGCGCAAGCCUGAUCCAGCCAUUCCGCGUGCAGGAUGAAGGCCUUCGGAUUGUAAACUGCUUUUGUACGGAACGAAACGGUCUGCCCUAAUACGGUGGGCUAAUGACGGUACCGUAAGAAUAAGCACCGGCUAACUACGUG
rnacentral:rRNA from 1 species